UUUGGAACUUUGAUGCCGGUUUUGAGCAAGUUUUUAAUUAAAAUUCAGUAUGAGCGCAGCUUUGCCCCACUGAAAUAUUUCAACAUAAGAUGCUUUUUGUUGGUAUUAUUGCUCUGACAAAAUAUUUCGUUGGGGCAAGAAUGCGCUGGUACUUUUUUCGUAAAAAAAGUUAGUGAAAAUGAGUAAAAAAUUGUGAAAAGCCAACAAAUAUGCACGUGAAGUGUUGUCAAAACACGGCAUUAUGACGUCAUAACUACAAAAAAACAUUUUUUUCAUAAAAUGAAUAUG
rnacentral:lncRNA from 1 species